UCCAAUGAGCUCAACUAAAUCUUCCUUGAUGAGCUGCCCGUGAUGCUGGAAAAAUACCGUUGAAAAUCCAUCUGGGCCAUGCGAACUACUUGCUUUAAUGGCGUGGACAAAGCUUUUUAUUUCUUCCUCCAUCGGCUUCCUACUCAGCCAAAGAAUCAUGUAUGUGGACACAAUUCUUGGAAACCAUCUUGUGCUAUCUGAACAAUCUCUAUUCUCGUAGAGCUUCUCGUAAAAUUCUGUUAAAGCUCAUAUUGUUGAUACUCAUGUUUC
rnacentral:lncRNA from 1 species